rnacentral:lncRNA from 1 species
UUAAGAGCUCCGGUUUUCAGGGCUGGGGCCAGGGGGCACGCCCCCUGGGUGACAUUUUCUCGCAUUGUGUCCUCAGAACAAAAACGAGUCUUAUUUGAAGAGUUGGAGCGGGGCGGGGGCAAGGGGCCGAGUGGAAUCGUGGCUCCAGGGAACGGCGAUUACUCAUCAAAGGCCAGGGCAGCCCGCGUCUUUGUGUGCCCUCCGCAGCCCGCCCGUGCCUGGCCACAGGCCCUCAGCCAUCGACUCCCCCGCGUCCGACCUCCCAAGAGCCCGGCUGGGGAUCGUGUGUGGGCAAAGAGCCGCUGCAGACACGGUGGGGGGAGGGGGUGUCCAGGCAGACUUCCUGGAGGAGGGGAGACGGCUAAAGAGAGAAAAAUGGAGUGGGUCUCCCGAGAUCAGAGGGGCCCCUGUUUCCUCCAGCAGUGCUGGCCUCAAGCCCCUGGAAAACAUGCACUUGUACUUUCCACCCAGCCUGGAGGGCCUUCGGUAAAAGCUGGUGGAGCUGCAGUAAAGGCCAGUGGUUCCAGAACCAACGACUGCUUGACUCCUACAGAGGAUUCUUGCUGGUGAAGGUGACAAGGAGGCUAGAAAGAUGAGAUCGGUACUAAUGAAGAAUGUGUUGAUGAAGAGUUGGAUUCCUAGAAAUUCCUACAUGG